CGAGAAACCACUAACAGUUUUCAAUGCAUUAAAUAAUUUAGAUCCUAUCUCAAAAGUUUAUUGCAGCUUGACAAGAACACUUCUCGAUCUUACAUUCUGUUGGUUCGAUUCUAUGAAAUGAGCAGCUGGUUGUAUCCAGACUUUUAAAGCUCCUGGUUUCAAAAUAAGAUUCUAGAGCUGCUUUAAAUUAAAGAUUUAAGAUUUGAAAAGUUACAUAUACAGUAUUAGUCAGGGUCUAUUUAAGAAAAGAGAAACCAUUCUAGAUAUUUUAAGCAGAGAGAAUGUAACACAAAGAUUGGUUCCAUGGGCGUUGGAAAGGCUGGAGGACCAAGACAAAAAAGAUUAGUGACAGAUUGGUAACUACAAGAAACUGAUUCCUCCCUGAACUAGUGUAACCGACUCAGAACCAGGAACAGAAACUCAGGGGCCGGCUCUGCUCACCACACUGCACGCAGUCACCAUCCCCACUGCCAGUGCUGUGAAUAAGGCUGCCACUACAGCCUCUGUCACACUCAAGCCACUGCCAAUACCGUUGCUGUUACUAACAGCCUCCGUCAUGCUGCUGCUGCCAUUAUUACCAUGGUCACUAUGGGUGUGGCUGCUUUCACCCCAAACUGACACCCAUAGGCAGGAAGAAAGGGAGGGAUGGAGUCACUUCUUGCCUCUUCUUGCUUUAAUCCUUUGGGGAACCAAGGAGCAAGGUGACCUGGACAAAGCAGUUCGAGAUGUAAUCACCCAAAGCAACAAAAAGAAGAAGAAAUACAAGCCCCAACUCUGACAACACUGGAGAGAAGAUAUGGGUAAUAAUAAGCCUAAGAAGGAAGAUGGAUGACACAGGAAUCAAUGACAAGAUUGCCUCCAAAGAGGCCCCACUGGGAAGCAAGUGGGGUCCUAAGGGAACAUUGAAAGUUUGAAAAAGAGGUGGGUUAUACCCUAAGUCUCCACUUCUAUUCUUCCUAUCUGUAGUAAGAGAAAACGGAACCAGGCAGGUCCUGGGCUCAGGAACUCCAAGCCCAGAGACAGCAAGUAGAAGGAAGAUGGAGGUUUGUAAAACUUUUGAUGUACAUCUGGCAUUUUUCAAAAAUUCAAAACCUAAAAAUUGGCAUAUUAAAGAUUAAUAGCCACAGUCACCCCCUACCAUCUCACCUCACCGCUAUAGAGCACAGGCAAUAACUGGUUUAAAUCACUCAGGCAAAAGAUUAAAGGAUUCUUUCCUAGGAAAACAGACUCAUCCCAGAAUAAAAACUCACAGAUCCUAACAUCUGGGGAACUCCCAUGAAGAGCUGUCUCCUGCUUACCAUGAAACCCACUGGAUAAUGAGUCAUGUCCAAGUAUGUCGUCAACCAAGAACUAUCCAGAAUUUCAGACCAACAUGAAAGAGCAGAAGGAGGAAUCCCAGCAUCCUAAAAGGAAAAGAAAAAUCCAGGAGAACUGAAAAAAAAUGUGGAAAUUUCCUAGAAAGUAGAAUAAAAGAUGGAUGAAUAGUAGAAGAAGGAAAAUAUGGGAGGCCCAACACCUGGAUAAUGGGAGUUCAAGGGAGAGAGAACCAGUGGGGUAAAUUUAUCAAAGAAACAAUACAAAGAAAAUUUCUUGAAAUACAGGAUGUGUAUGUAUGUGUAUGUGUAUGUGUAUGUAUGCCCAGCUCAGUGAAUAAAAAGUGUGUCUACCAAAAA